GGGGCUCUGGCUCAGUGGGAGAGCACCUGCUUGCCAUGCAGAAGGUCCUGGGUUCAAUCCCCAGUAUCUCCA